GGCGAACGGGUGAGUAACACGUGGGUGAUCUGCCCUGCACUCUGGGAUAAGCCUGGGAAACUGGGUCUAAUACCGGAUAGGACCACACACUUCAUGGUGAGUGGUGCAAAGCUUUUGCGGUGUGGGAUGAGCCCGCGGCCUAUCAGCUUGUUGGUGGGGUAAUGGCCCACCAAGGCGACGACGGGUAGCCGGCCUGAGAGGGUGACCGGCCACACUGGGACUGAGAUACGGCCCAGACUCCUACGGGAGGCAGCAGUGGGGAAUAUUGCACAAUGGGCGCAAGCCUGAUGCAGCGACGCCGCGUGAGGGAUGACGGCCUUCGGGUUGUAAACCUCUUUCAGUAGGGACGAAGCGAAAGUGACGGUACCUACAGAAGAAGGACCGGCCAACUACGUGCCAGCAGCCGCGGUAAUACGUAGGGUCCGAGCGUUGUCCGGAAUUACUGGGCGUAAAGAGCUCGUAGGUGGUUUGUCGCGUUGUUCGUGAAAACUCACAGCUUAACUGUGGGCGUGCGGGCGAUACGGGCAGACUAGAGUACUGCAGGGGAGACUGGAAUUCCUGGUGUAGCGGUGGAAUGCGCAGAUAUCAGGAGGAACACCGGUGGCGAAGGCGGGUCUCUGGGCAGUAACUGACGCUGAGGA
rnacentral:rRNA from 1 species